UACGGGGGGGGCAAGCGUUGUUCGGAAUUACUGGGCGUAAAGGGCUCGUAGGUGGCCAACUAAGUCAGACGUGAAAUCCCUCGGCUUAACCGGGGAACUGCGUCUGAUACUGGAUGGCUUGAGUUCGGGAGAGGGAUGCGGAAUUCCAGGUGUAGCGGUGAAAUGCGUAGAUAUCUGGAGGAACACCGGUGGCGAAGGCGGCAUCCUGGACCGACACUGACGCUGAGGAGCGAAAGCGUGGGGAGCAAACAGG
rnacentral:rRNA from 1 species